rnacentral:tRNA from 1 species
UAUGACUUUAAGUUAAAAAACUAUAAACCUUCAAAGUUUAAAAUAUCAUAAAAGAUAAGUCUUAA